UGGCCAAUAGUCUAAUGGUAAGACAAUUACUUUUUAAUUAAUUUAUACUGGUUCGAUUCCUGUUUAGCCUA
rnacentral:tRNA from 1 species